UACAGAGGAUGCAAGCGUUAUCCGGAAUGAUUGGGCGUAAAGCGUCUGUAGGUGGCUUUUUAAGUCCGCCGUCAAAUCCCAGGGCUCAACUCUGGACAGGCGGUGGAAACUACCAAGCUGGAGUACGGUAGGGGCAGAGGGAAUUUCCGGUGGAGCGGUGAAAUGCGUAGAUAUCAGGAGGAAUACCGAUGGCGAAGGCAGGUCUCUGGGCUGACACUGACGCUCAUGCACGAAAGCGUGGGGAGCAAACAGG
rnacentral:rRNA from 1 species